UUGUAGCCUCGCAGAUGGAGGAAGGACGCCUCCCGCUACCAAGCCCCGGGG
rnacentral:tRNA from 1 species